GAGUUUGAACCUGGCUCAGGAUGAACGCUGGCGGCGUGCUUAACACAUGCAAGUCGAACGAAGCGAUUGGAAGGAAGUUUUCGGAUGGAAUUCUGAUUGACUGAGUGGCGGACGGGUGAGUAACGCGUGGGUAACCUGCCUCAUACAGGGGGAUAACAGUUAGAAAUGACUGCUAAUACCGCAUAAGCGCACAGGAUUGCAUGAUCCAGUGUGAAAAACUCCGGUGGUAUGAGAUGGACCCGCGUCUGAUUAGCUAGUUGGUGGGGUAACGGCCCACCAAGGCGACGAUCAGUAGCCGACCUGAGAGGGUGACCGGCCACAUUGGGACUGAGACACGGCCCAAACUCCUACGGGAGGCAGCAGUGGGGAAUAUUGCACAAUGGGGGAAACCCUGAUGCAGCAACGCCGCGUGAGUGAAGAAGUAUUUCGGUAUGUAAAGCUCUAUCAGCAGGGAAGAAAAUGACGGUACCUGAGUAAGAAGCCCCGGCUAACUAC
rnacentral:rRNA from 1 species